rnacentral:rRNA from 1 species
GCAUAUCAAUAAGCGGAGGAAAAGAAAAUAACAAUGAUUCCCCUAGUAACUGCGAGUGAAGAGGGACAAGCUCAAAUUUUAAAUCUAUCGGGUUUUACCUGAUCGAGUUGUAAUUUGAAGAAGCGUUUUCUGCGUAUUUGGUCAGCCUAAGUCCUAUUGAAUGAGGCAUCAUGGAGGGUGAUAAUCCCGUCCGGUUGAUCAUUUGCGUUUUACGAUACGCUUUCUAAGAGUCAAGUUGUUUGGGAUUGCAGCUUAAAAUGGGAGGUAAAUUUCUCCUAAGGCUAGAUAACGGCGAGAGACCGAUAGCGAACAAGUACCGUGAGGGAAAGAUGAAAAGAACUUUGAAAAGAGAGUUAAACAGUACGUGAAAUUGUUGAAAGGGAAACGAUUGAAGCCAGUCGUACCUUCGGGUAAUCAGCCUUUCGGGUGCGAUUCUGUGGAGUGUGAGGAGCUUAAACACCUUCAUGUUUUGCAUAUUCGUACUCUUGGGUGUACUUGCCCGUGUGGUUGGUUAACAUCAAUUUUGGUGGUCAUAAAAUGACUGGGGGAAUGUAGCUUCGAUCUUGUAUUGAAGUGUUAUAGCCUUCGGUAGAUGUGAUGAUCGAGAUUGAGGAUUGCAACGGAUACCCUUUGGGGCUACCUGUCUGAUCUCUGAUCGUUGCUUUGGUGCCGAAAGCUUGCUUACGGUUAUCAAAGUCGAUGGUCAAUAGGUUAGAACGGGUUAAAUUCGUUAAGGAUGUUGACGUAAUGGUUUUAAACGACCCGUCUUGAAACACGGACCAAGGAGUCUAACAUAUAUGCGAGUGUUAGGGUGAUUAAACCCUUACGCGUAAUGAAAGUAAUUUUGGUGGGAACACUUUUGUGCACCAUCGACCGAUCAGGAUAUUUUUUGAUAGAUUUGAGUAAGAGCA